UACGUAGGGGGCAAGCGUUGUCCGGAAUUAUUGGGCGUAAAGAGCGCGUAGGCGGUCCGAUAAGUCGGCUGUGAAAGUCAGGGGCUCAACCCUUGAAAGCCGGCCGAUACUGUCGGACUAGAGUCCGGAAGAGGCAAGUGGAAUUCCCGGUGUAGCGGUGAAAUGCGCAGAUAUCGGGAGGAACACCAAUGGCGAAGGCAGCUCGCUGGGACGGUAUUGACGCUGAGACGCGAAAGCGUGGGGAGCAAACAGG
rnacentral:rRNA from 1 species